UGCUCUGAUGAUAUUACUAAUAGGAAGUGCCAUCAGAAGUGAUAUUAGAACUAGUUAUUACCAUGUCCCAGU
ensembl:snoRNA small nucleolar RNA, C/D box 49B